rnacentral:rRNA from 1 species
GACGAACGCUGGCGGCGUGCUUAACACAUGCAAGUCGAACGGUGAAGCGCCUUCCUUUUUGGUGGGUGUGGAUGAGUGGCGAACGGGUGAGUAACACGUGAGUAACCUGCCCCCUUCUUCUGGAUAACCGCAUGAAAGUGUGGCUAAUACGGGAUAUUCUGGGUCUGUCGCAUGAUGGGUCUGGGAAAGAUAUUGUUUCGGUGGGGGAUGGGCUCGCGGCCUAUCAGCUUGUUGGUGGGGUGAUGGCCUACCAAGGCGGUGACGGGUAGCCGGCCUGAGAGGGUGGACGGUCACACUGGGACUGAGACACGGCCCAGACUCCUACGGGAGGCAGCAGUGAGGAAUAUUGCACAAUGGGCGCAAGCCUGAUGCAGCGACGCCGCGUGAGGGAUGGAGGCCUUCGGGUUGUGAACCUCUUCCGCCAGUGAAGCAGGCCUGCCUCGUUUGUGGGUGGGUUGACGGUAGCUGGAUAAGAAGCGCCGGCUAACUACGUG